ensembl:snoRNA
GGUCGUGAUGAAAAGUGUGAAUGGGAAGUGCCGUUCGAUGCGACAACUGACGAAGUUUCUUAAUCACUAUUCUGAAU